GAUGAACGCUGGCGGCGUGCCUAAUACAUGCAAGUCGAGCGAAUGGAUUAAGAGCUUGCUCUUAUGAAGUUAGCGGCGGACGGGUGAGUAACACGUGGGUAACCUGCCCAUAAGACUGGGAUAACUCCGGGAAACCGGGGCUAAUACCGGAUAACAUUUUGAACCGCAUGGUUCGAAAUUGAAAGGCGGCCCCGGCUGUCACUUAUGGAUGGACCUGCGUCGAAUUAGCUAGUUGGUGCGGUAACGGCUCACCAAGGCAACGAUGCGUAGCCGACCUGAGAGGGUGAUCGGCCACACUGGGACUGAGACACGGCCCAGACUCCUACGGGGGGCAGCAGUAGGGAAUCUUCCGCAAUGGACGAAAGUCUGACGGAGCAACGCCGCGUGAGUGAUGAAGGCUUUCGGGUCGUAAAACUCUGUUGUUAGGGAAGAACAAGUGCUAGUUGAAUAAGCUGGCACCUUGACGGUACCUAACCAGAAAGCCACGGCUAACUACGUGCCAGCAGCCGCGGUAA
rnacentral:rRNA from 1 species